UACGAAGGGGCUAGCGUUGCUCGGAAUCACUGGGCGUAAAGCGCACGUAGGCGGAUUGCUAAGUCAGGGGUGAAAUCCUGGAGCUCAACUCCAGAACUGCCUUUGAUACUGGCGAUCUCGAGUCCGGAGAGGUGAGUGGAACUGCGAGUGUAGAGGUGAAAUUCGUAGAUAUUCGCAAGAACACCAGUGGCGAAGGCGGCUCACUGGCCCGGUACUGACGCUGAGUGCGAAAGCGUGGGAGCAACAGGAUAGAAACCUAGAG
rnacentral:rRNA from 1 species